ACUCCUACGGGAGGCAGCAGUGGGGAAUAUUGCACAAUGGGGGAAACCCUGAUGCAGCCAUGCCGCGUGUGUGAAGAAGGCCUUCGGGUUGUAAAGCACUUUCAGUAGGGAGGAAGGUAGUNUAGUUAACAUACCUGCACNAUUUUGACGUUACCUACAGAAGAGCACCGGCUAACUCCGGUGCCAGCAGCCGCGGUAAUACGGAGGGUGCGAGCGUUAAUCGGAAUUACUGGGCGUAAAGCGCAUGCAGGCGGCCUGUUAAGUCAGAUGUGAAAGCCCGGGGCUUAACCUCGGAAUUGCAUUUGAAACUGGCAGGCUAGAGUCUUGUAGAGGGGGGUAGAAUUUCAGGUGUAGCGGUGAAAUGCGUAGAGAUCUGAAGGAAUACCAGUGGCGAAGGCGGCCCCCUGGACAAAGACUGACGCUCAGAUGCGAAAGCGUGGGGAGCAAACAGGAUUAGAUACCCUGGUAGCUA
rnacentral:rRNA from 1 species